rnacentral:rRNA from 1 species
UAAUACGUAGGUGGCGAGCGUUGUCCGGAUUUAUUGGGCGUAAAGGGCGUGUAGGCGGUUUCGUAAGUCAGGGGUGAAAAUCCGGGGCUCAACCCCGGGACUGCCUCUGAAACUGCGGAACUUGAGUGCUCUAGAGGGCAGUGGAAUUCCGGGUGUAGCAGUGAAAUGCGUAGAUAUCCGGAGGAACACCAGUGGCGAAGGCGACUGCCUGGGGAGUAACUGACGCUGAGGCGCGAAAGCUGGGGGAGCAAACAGGAUUAGAUACCCUGGUAGUCCCAGCCGUAAACGAUGAGUGCUAUGUGUGAGGGGUAUCGACCCCCCUCGUGCAGCAGUUAACGCAAUAAGCACUCCGCCUGGGGAGUACGGCCGCAAGGUUG